rnacentral:rRNA from 1 species
CAUGGUUGUCGUCAGCUCGUGUCGUGAGAUGUUGGUUAAGUCCGCAACGAGCGCAACCCUCGACCUUAGUUGCCAGCAUUCAGUUGGGCACUCUAAGGUGACUGCCGGCUAAAAGUCGGAGGAAGGUGGGGAUGACGUCAAAUCAUCAUGCCCCUUAUGACCUGGGCUACACACGUGCUACAAUGGGCGGUACAAAGGGUCGCGAACCCGCGAGGGGGAGCCAAUCCCAAAAAGCCGCUCUCAGUUCGGAUUGCAGGCUGCAACUCGCCUGCAUGAAGCCGGAAUCGCUAGUAAUCGCGGAUCAGCAUGCCGCGGUGAAUACGUUCCCGGGCCUU